rnacentral:rRNA from 1 species
GACGAACGCUGGCGGCGUGCCUAAUACAUGCAAGUAGAACGCUGAAGGAGGAGCUUGCUUCUCUGGAUGAGUUGCGAACGGGUGAGUAACGCGUAGGUAACCUGCCUGGUAGCGGGGGAUAACUAUUGGAAACGAUAGCUAAUACCGCAUAAUAGCAGUUAUUGCAUGAUAACUGUUUGAAAGGUGCAAUUGCACCACUACCAGAUGGACCUGCGUUGUAUUAGCUAGUUGGUGGGGUAACGGCUCACCAAGGCGACGAUACAUAGCCGACCUGAGAGGGGGACUGCCCACCCGGGAAGGGGACACGGCCCAAGGGUCCUGGGGGGGGGAGAAGAAGGGAAUCUUCGGAAGUGGAGGGAAGUUUGACCGAAGAACGCCGGGGGGGGGAAAGAGGUUUUGGGAUCGUAAAGCUGUGUUGUAAGGGAAAAACGGGUGUGGGGGGGGAAAAUUCACCCGGUGACGGAAUUUUACCAGAAAGGGACGGCUAACUACGG